rnacentral:rRNA from 1 species
GAUGAACGCUAGCGGCAGGCCUAACACAUGCAAGUCGAGGGGUAACAGGAAAGCUUGCUUUUGCUGACGACCGGCGCACGGGUGCGUAACGCGUAUGCAACCUACCUCAUACAGGAGGAUAGCCCUUGGAAACGAGGAUUAAUACUCCAUAGUAUCACGAAUUCGCAUGUUUUUGUGAUUAAAGUUUUUCGGUAUGAGAUGGGCAUGCGUCCCAUUAGCUUGUUGGUGAGGUAACGGCUCACCAAGGCGACGAUGGGUAGGGGGCCUGAGAGGGUGGUCCCCCACACUGGUACUGAGACACGGACCAGACUCCUACGGGAGGCAGCAGUGAGGAAUAUUGGUCAAUGGAGGCAACUCUGAACCAGCCAUGCCGCGUGAAGGAUGACGGCCCUAUGGGUUGUAAACUUCUUUUAUAUGGGAAGAAACUUGUCUACGUGUAGACAACUGACGGUACCAUACGAAUAAGGAUCGGCUAACUCCGUGCCAGCAGCCGCCGGGUAACAC